AUUGAACGCUGGCGGCAGGCCUAACACAUGCAAGUCGAGCGGAUGAAGGGAGCUUGCUCCUGGAUUCAGCGGCGGACGGGUGAGUAAUGCCUAGGAAUCUGCCUGGUAGUGGGGGAUAACGUCCGGAAACGGGCGCUAAUACCGCAUACGUCCAGAGGGAGAAAGGGGGGGAUCUUCGGACCUCACGCUAUCUGAUGAGCCUAGUUCGGAUUAGCUAGUUGGUGGGGUAAAGGCCUACCAAGGCGACGAUCCGUAACUGGUCUGAGAGGAUGAUCAGUCACACUGGAACUGAGACACGGUCCAGACUCCUACGGGAGGCAGCAGUGGGGAAUCUUGGACAAUGGGCGAAAGCCUGAUCCAGCCAUGCCGCGUGUGUGAAGAAGGUCUUCGGAUUGUAAAGCACUUUAAGUUGGGAGGAAGGGCAGUAAGUUAAUACCUUGCUGUUUUGACGUUACCAACAGAAUAAGCCCCGGCUAACUUCGUG
rnacentral:rRNA from 1 species